UACGUAGGGGGGCGAGCGUUGUCCGGAUUUAUUGGGCGUAAAGAGCGUGUAGGCGGCUUGGUAGGUCUGCUGUGAAAACUCGGGGGCUCAACCCCCGAGACGUCGGUGGAAACCACCUUGCUAGAGUCCGGAAGAGGAGAGUGGAAUUCCUGGUGUAGCGGUGAAAUGCGUAGAGAUCCGGAAGAACACCGGUGGCGAAGGCGGCCUGCUGGGGCAGUGGCUGACGCUGAGGCGCGACAGCGUGGGGGAGCAAAACAGG
rnacentral:rRNA from 1 species